rnacentral:rRNA from 1 species
UACGUAGGGCGCAAGCGUUGUCCGGAAUUAUUGGGCGUAAAGAGCUCGUAGGCGGUUUGUCGCGUCUGCUGUGAAAACUCGAGGCUCAACCUCGGGCUUGCAGUGGGUACGGGCAGACUAGAGUGCGGUAGGGGUGACUGGAAUUCCUGGUGUAGCGGUGAAAUGCGCAGAUAUCAGGAGGAACACCGGUGGCGAAGGCGGGUCUCUGGGCCGAUACUGACGCUGAGGAGCGAAAGCGUGGGGAGCAAACGGG